GCGACGGACGAGAAGCUUGCUUCUCUGAUGUUAGCGGCGGACGGGUGAGUAACACGUGGAUAACCUACCUAUAAGACUGGGAUAACUUCGGGAAACCGGAGCUAAUACCGGAUAAUAUUUUGAACCGCAUGGUUCAAAAGUGAAAGACGGUCUUGCUGUCACUUAUAGAUGGAUCCGCGCUGCAUUAGCUAGUUGGUAAGGUAACGGCUUACCAAGGCAACGAUGCAUAGCCGACCUGAGAGGGUGAUCGGCCACACUGGAACUGAGACACGGUCCAGACUCCUACGGGAGGCAGCAGUAGGGAAUCUUCCGCAAUGGGCGAAAGCCUGACGGAGCAACGCCGCGUGAGUGAUGAAGGUCUUCGGAUCGUAAAACUCUGUUAUUAGGGAAGAACAUAUGUGUAAGUAACUGUGCACAUCUUGACGGUACCUAAUCAGAAAGCCACGGCUAACUACGUGCCAGCAGCCGCGGUAAUACGUAGGUGGCAAGCGUUAUCCGGAAUUAUUGGGCGUAAAGCGCGCGUAGGCGGUUUUUUAAGUCUGAUGUGAAAGCCCACGGCUCAACCGUGGAGGGUCAUUGGAAACUGGAAAACUUGAGUGCAGAAGAGGAAAGUGGAAUUCCAUGUGUAGCGGUGAAAUGCGCAGAGAUAUGGAGGAACACCAGUGGCGAAGGCGACUUUCUGGUCUGUAACUGACGCUGAUGUGCGAAAGCGUGGGGAUCAAACAGGAUUAGAUACCCUGGUAGUCCACGCCGUAAACGAUGAGUGCUAAGUGUUAGGGGGUUUCCGCCCCCUAGUGCUGCAGCUAACGCAUUAAGCACUCCGCCUGGGGAGUACGACC
rnacentral:rRNA from 1 species